rnacentral:rRNA from 1 species
UACGAAGGGGGCUAGCGUUGCUCGGAAUCACUGGGCGUAAAGCGCACGUAGGCGGCUUUCUAAGUCAGGGGUGAAAUCCUGGAGCUCAACUCCAGAACUGCCUUUGAUACUGGGAAGCUCGAGUCCGGAAGAGGUGAGUGGAACUCCGAGUGUAGAGGUGAAAUUCGUAGAUAUUCGGAAGAACACCAGUGGCGAAGGCGGCUCACUGGUCCGGUACUGACGCUGAGACGCGAAAGCGUGGGGAGCAAACAGG